CCUACGGGUGGCAGCAGUGGGGAAUAUUGGACAAUGGGCGAAAGCCUGAUCCAGCCAUGCCGCGUGUGUGAAGAAGGCCUUCGGGUUGUAAAGCACUUUCAGUGGGGAAGAAAGCCUUGGGGCUAAUACCCUCGAGGAAGGACAUCACCCACAGAAGAAGCACCGGCUAACUCCGUGCCAGCAGCCGCGGUAAUACGGAGGGUGCGAGCGUUAUUCGGAAUUACUGGGCGUAAAGCGCGCGUAGGCGGUCUGAUAAGCCGGUUGUGAAAGCCCCGGGCUCAACCUGGGAACGGCAUCCGGAACUGUCAGGCUAGAGUGCAGGAGAGGAAGGUAGAAUUCCCGGUGUAGCGGUGAAAUGCGUAGAGAUCGGGAGGAAUACCAGUGGCGAAGGCGGCCUUCUGGACUGACACUGACGCUGAGGUGCGAAAGCGUGGGUAGCAAACAGGAUUAGAUACCCCAGUAGUC
rnacentral:rRNA from 1 species